rnacentral:rRNA from 1 species
CAAUAGCGUAUAUUAAAGUUGUUGCAGUUAGAACGCUCGUAGUCGGAUUUCGGGGCGGGCCGACCGGUCUGCCGAUGGGUACGCACUGGUCGGCGCGUCCUUCCUUCCGGAGACCGUGCCUACUCUUAACUGAGCGGGGGCCGGGAGACGGAUCGUUUACUUUGAAAAAAUCAGAGUGUUUCAAGCAGGCAGCUCGCUCUUGCAUGGAUUAGCAUGGGAUAAUGAAAUAGGACUUUGGUGCUAUUUUGUUGGUUUCGAACACCGAAGUAAUGAUUAAAAGGGACAGUCAGGGGCACUCGUAUUCCGCCGAGAGAGGUGAAAUUCUCAGACCAGCGGAAGACGAACCACUGCGAAAGCAUUUGCCAGGGAUGUUUUCACUGA